rnacentral:rRNA from 1 species
AUGAAAAUAAAAAUACAGGUACAAACAAUAGCACAACUUGAGGUUGCAGUUGUUGAGUAUGAGAUCAAACCGAACUUAGUUUCCAUAGUUCAACAUGACCAAUUUGGAGGCUCUACUUCUGAAGAUGCAUGUAUGCACUUGCAUAAUUUUACUGAAUUGUGCAACAUGACACACAUUAGAGAUUAUGACCUCGACGCUUUAAAGUUGCAUCUAUUUCCUUUCUCUUUGAGAGGAAAAGCAAAAGAAUGGCUUCUAGCUCUACCUAGAGGUUUCAAGCAGGAAGAACGUGAGCCACUAGAGCUUGUGUGGGAAAGAAUGAAAUAA